rnacentral:rRNA from 1 species
CCUACGGGAGGCAGCAGUGGGGAAUAUUGGACAAUGGGGGCAACCCUGAUCCAGCCAUGCCGCGUGUGUGAAGAAGGCCCUCGGGUUGUAAAGCACUUUCAGUGAGGAAGAACGCCUGGUGGUUAAUACCCAUCAGGAAAGACAUCACUCACAGAAGAAGCACCGGCUAACUCCGUGCCAGCAGCCGCGGUAAUACGGAGGGUGCGAGCGUUAAUCGGAAUUACUGGGCGUAAAGCGCGCGUAGGUGGCUUGAUAAGCCGGUUGUGAAAGCCCCGGGCUCAACCUGGGAACGGCAUCCGGAACUGUCAAGCUUGAGGGCAGGAGAGGAAGGUAGAAUUCCCGGUGUAGCGGUGAAAUGCGUAGAGAUCGGGAGGAAUACCAGUGGCGAAGGCGGCCUUCUGGACUGACACUGACACUGAGGUGCGAAAGCGUGGGUAGCAAACAGGAUUAGAUACCCGAGUAGUC